CAGCCCUCAAGAUGAAACACAGAUCACAAAUCAUAAACCAGAAGAGCAUCCUGAAGAAAAUACAAAGAACAGUGUUGACGAACAGGAAGAAACUGUUAUUUCUUACGAAUCAACUCCUGAGGUUUCUAGAGGAAAUCAAACAAUGGCAGUGAAAAGUCUGUCCCCAUCUCCUGAGUCCUCGGCAUCGCCAGUUCCAUCCACUCAGCCGCAGCUCACAGAAGGAUCACAUUUCAUGUGUGUGUAGUCUUAGAAGAACUAUACUGACUUCUGUUGAAACCAUUCAAAGCUAAAGACAUGGACCUUCAGCAGUGUAAGAAGAUAUUGUACAGUAUAUUUUAAAUCUAUGAAAUUCAUAGUUCUGAUGCUUUUGGUCACAGAGCAUC
rnacentral:lncRNA from 1 species